rnacentral:rRNA from 1 species
UUACCCCUGAUUGUCGUUGGGUGAGGGCUAGUAGGCGGUAGUAGGGUAGGUGGGAAUUCUGGGGUAGAGGUAGAAGACGGAUGAUAUGAGGAAGAACCCCGGGGAAGGAGGAUGUUUUUUGGGCAUUGAGGCUGAGGAGAGAAAAAGAGGGGGGAGCGAACGGGUUGAGAUCCCGAGUGAGUACACAGUGAUAAGGGGUGGAAACUGGGUGUGGGCAACUUUACAUGUUGUCGGUGCCGCAGCUAGGCCUUUAAGUUCCCCGCUUGGGGAUAGCGGCGGCAGAGGCUAAAGUUCAAGGGAUUGGAGGGGGGCCGGCACAAGCGGGGGAUCAUGUGGCUAAAUUGGAGGCAACGGGAAGAACCUUACCAGGGCUUGACAUACACCGGAAACGUCUGGAGACGGGCGCCCCCUUGUGGUCGGUGUACAGGUGGUGCAUGGCUGUCGUCAGCUCGUGUCGUGAGAUGUUGGGUUAAGUCCCGCAACGAGCGCAACCCUUGUCCUGUGUUGCCAGCAUGCCCUUCGGGGUGAUGGGGACUCACAGGAGACCGCCGGGGUCAACUCGGAGGAAGGUGGGGACGACGUCAAGUCAUCAUGCCCCUUAUGUCUUGGGUGGCACACGUGGUACAAUGGCCGGUACAAUGAGCUGCGAUACCGUGAGGUGGAGCGAAUCUCAAAAAGCCGGUCUCAGUUCGGAUUGGGGUCUGCAACUCGACCCCAUGAAGUCGGAGUUGCUAGUAAUCGCAGAUCAGCAUUGCUGCGGUGAAUACGUUCCCGGGCCUUGUACACACCGCCCGUCACGUCACGAAAGUUGGUAACACCCGAAGCCGGUGGCCCAACCCCUGGGGAGGGAGCUUGAAGUGAUGCAUGAAA